GGCCCCCCGCACACAUGUCUUUAUUACAUUUACUCACGGGGGGUCACACCUGCACAAUGGCCUACGGGCUCAAUUGCCGCGGUAACCUGACCGUGCAAAGGUAGCGUAAUCAAUAGCCUAUUAAUUGUUGGCCUGUAUGAAUGGUACGACGCUGGUAGCGCUGUCUCAGCUGCAGUAAUUUGAACUUAACUUCUGGGUGAAAAGGCCCAGAUAAAUCUGAAAGACGAUUAGACCCUAUCGAACUUUAGGUAGAUCAAUUAAAAAGAUAUCCGUAGGGAUCCUCUUUAUCCAUUUGCUAAACCUUUGGUUGGGGUAACCGGGGACUAAGAAAAACGUCCCCCUCCUUUGAAAGUAAACACCCUAUAAUAAAGGCAAUAAAGAUUUUACCUUUUAGGGCGAUUAGCCUACAGGAAAGUAACCUAACGAAAUUUUAAAACGUCUGACAAGACAUACUUUACUUAUAAAAUGAACCUAAAGAACUGCCAUAUCAGUUAUCUAUCAAUAGGGAAGAGUUACCGUAGGGAUAACAGCGUAAUCCUCCUGGCGAGACCACAUUAAGGGGAGGGUUUGCGACCUCGAUGUUGGCUUAAGGCCUCCUAGAAGUGCAGGAGCUUCUAAGGGUUGGUCUGUUCGACCAUUAAAGCCUUACGU
rnacentral:rRNA from 1 species